AUCUCGUCGUUAGACGGCGUCGUCGUGGAGUUCUCGCUCAUUCUACCGUGCGCAUUCGACCUAAUUCUCAACAUCAUUGUUGUAUUGCCCCGUGGCUUUUAUACUGUGAGAGAGGGGGUUGUUCGAUUCGAAACACUGACUAUAAAAUAGACGGACCAAUGAGUAGCUGCCACGUGGUGGAUUCUGUCGCGUUGUGUGGAGUAACAGCUAAGCAGAGAGAGUUUGCCGACAGUCUUUUUGGGAACGAAAUAAUGCUGGGCUGCUUUGAGUUUAGAUUUAGAUUUAGCAACUUCAUUUUCAUUGGAGGAGCAAAGAGAGGAGACGAAUAAGCUUUACACGUGAAGUUAGGUUGGACCCACAGCUGAUGACUUUCAUCUGGGAGAGAGAUUGUAACUGACAGCUACGUCGACCUUGAUCAUGAGAUGACUGACAGCCGUUAGAUCAAAUGUUGAUAGGUGAUCUUUUACUUCAAAGUGAGCAAAGACAGUUGCUUAGGGUUGUAAUCCGUUGUUAGCAAGG